rnacentral:rRNA from 1 species
GGCUCAGGAGUGAACGCUGGCGGCGUGCUUAACACAUGCAAGUCGAACGGAGUCAUCAUUUUUGAAGCAAUUAGCUUGCUAAGAGUGGAAAUGUUGAUGACUUGUGGCGGACGGGUGAGUAACGCGUGGGUAACCUGCCAUAUACAGGGGGAUAACACUUAGAAAUAGGUGCUAAUACCGCAUAAGCGCACAGUAUUGCAUGAGACAGUGUGAAAAACUACGGUGGUAUAUGAUGGACCCGCGUCUGAUUAGCUGGUUGGUGAGGUAACGGCCCACCAAGGCGACGAUCAGUAGCCGGCCUGAGAGGGUGGACGGCCACAUUGGGACUGAGACACGGCCCAAACUCCUACGGGAGGCAGCAGUGGGGAAUAUUGGACAAUGGGGGAAACCCUGAUCCAGCGACGCCGCGUGAGUGAAGAAGUAUUUCGGUAUGUAAAGCUCUAUCAGCAGGGAAGAAAAAAAUGACGGUACCUGACUAAGAAGCCCCGGCUAACCACGUG